rnacentral:rRNA from 1 species
UACGGGGGGGGCAAGCGUUGUUCGGAAUUACUGGGCGUAAAGCGUGCGCAGGCGGUUUUGUAAGCCAGAUGUGAAAGCCCCGGGCUUAACCUGGGAAUGGCAUUUGGGACUGCAAGGCUUGAGUGCGGCAGAGGAGACUGGAAUUCCCGGUGUAGCAGUGAAAUGCGUAGAUAUCGGGAGGAAUACCGAUGGCGAAGGCAGGUCUCUGGGCUGACACUGACGCUCAUGCACGAAAGCGUGGGGAGCAAACAGG